UGGGAUCCCAUUAAGGAGACGAAUGUGAAUAAACUUUUCAAGAGGAAGGGUAGUGCCAAGAUAAGAAAUUUUGUUACUAGGGCAAAAUCCGGUAUGAAAAAACCCUCACACGUUACCCUUGAAGACUCGAACGAAAUGAAAAUUAGAUUUGAUGAGCCAAUGUAUAAUCAUAAGUGCACAAAGGCCAAAGGAAAGGAAAUAAAUACAAAGAAAAUGGUGGUGCUACAUAUUGUGGGGGUUCAAUCUCGGCUAUAGAACAUCAAAGAAGAUUGACAAAGGAACUUGGAAGACCCCCUUCCCUUCUUGAAACAUUUGAGAAGACACAUAAAAAGAGGGAUGGUACAUGGAGUGGAAAUAGGGCAGCAAAAGUUGUGCAAUCUUUUACUCAAGUUCAUCAAACUCAAGAAACAUUGGAUCCAAAUGAACAGAAAUCUGAAAAAGAAUUGUGGAUGGAGACAGUAGGGAAUUCCAAGAACGGGCGUGUGUUUUGAAUAGGCUAUAUGGGCCGAAAACAGGUAUUCGAAAAUGGACAAUCCAACACACAAUUUUCUUUAUAGUUAAAUACACUUAAAGAAACUGCUACUACUUUACAAACUUUAAAUUCUGAGAAAGAGAAAGAGAAAGAGAUUGCACUACAAAAAGAAGAAGUUGAGAGAUGUAAGGUAGAGUAUGUAGAACAAUAAGAGAAAAUUAAACUGUUAGAGUCCACCCAAGUUGAACUAGUUCAUGACAAAGUUGUUCUUCAAACGCAAGUGCAGUCUUUAAA